CUGUCUUUCUUCACAGAAAUUUCCAAGGAAACUAUAUUUCAUACAUUGAUGGAAAUGUAUGGAAAGCAUACAGAUGAACUGAGAAACUAAAUCUGGGCUGCAAUUUAAUUACAGAACUGAGCCUUGGAACAUUUCAGGCCUGGCACGGAAUGCAGUUUUUACACAACUUGAGGCAUGAGGAGGUGAGAGAUGGAAAGAAUGCUGUCUGUCAUUUGGAGUCAGAAGGAAAAGAAGGUUGAGGGUCUGCCAGCUCUGCUCUAGUGGUUUUUUCCUGUUUCACCUUUUACAAAAUCGAGAUAAUCGUUUCUACUUGGUAGCGAUAUUGUGAGGUGUAAAAUGGAUUAAUACAUGGAAAAUGCUUAAAGCAACUUCUGGCAUACGGUGAUCGCUCAACCAAUCCAUUGUUAUUUUAUUAUUAUUAUUUU
rnacentral:lncRNA from 1 species